GUCAUUGGAAUUAUCUGUGGUGUUGAAAAAUGCUGAUGCAGGUCCUAUUUCCAUAACCAAACAGUCAACAGAAUAAACUAGUGAUUUCGAUCACUUUUCAGUAGACUUGCGGACCUCAGUCACACCAACGCGUUAGUAAUCGAUAGCUAAUUUAAAUCACGAUCCAGUUUAGUUUCUUUUGAGUAGCUCCGUAUGUAGGGGACCUUACCUAAUAUAACCUAUCGGGG